rnacentral:lncRNA from 1 species
AUCAUACUCCAAUUCACAAACUCUUUUAUAUACAUAUGGAAAAAAAAAAAAGAAGAAGAAAAACAAUGUUGUACCACUAAAUCAAGGUAAAUAACGUAGGAGCUUAAGAGAUACUGCCGAGCUCUACCCCGCCCGCAUUAUGAGCCUUUCAUUUAAAAAGUCUUAUAUGGCUAGCAUAAGUUUGCCCACUAAACAGGUUAAAAGUAAUUAAUCUGAUAAAUUUUCCUAUAUCAUUACAUGUUAGCUCGGUAAAAUAUAUGUCUACUGAUCACUCACACACCAGAAACGGGUGAAUAUUACUUAAAAAUAUUUUCAACUCCAAUCAUAUAACCACCUCUCUAAUCUCCAAAGAAGAUUUGAAGGGUUAUACAAAAACCGUAAGCACUAAGCAGUUGUGAGGACAUACUUCUCAUUGAACAAGUUUUCAGAUACAGUCUCCCAAUUAUACCAGUCCAUAUGAGACAAAUAUCAAUUCUCUGCCCAAACUAUAUGGUUAACUGUUAAUAGGAACUACAAAGAAUCAAGAUCUGCAAUGAAUACUAUAGCGGCGAACAUGUUUUUAAUAAUUUGAGCCAUAAAAAGAUAAAACAAUUAAUGAUGUAACAGCAAAAUUUAGCACAUAUAUGAGGUCGCUGCAACAGCGCAAUAUCAGAAGAAGAUUGUGCAACAUAAUCUCAGCACAUACACAGUGUAUGUUAAAUGAUCCUGUUACAAACUAAUAUAAGUACAAUAUUCUUUUCUAAAUCUGAAAUUAUCGUUUUAAGUUUCACUAUGCGCCUUUUUUGGCCACAGUUUCAUCAGUGUCUUUUUAUACUUUGGCAGAUCCAAACAGUGACCUACUGUGCAAAAACCAGCCUCAUUCGUUCUUUCAUCUCUCCCCAAUUUAUGCGAUAUAGAUUAAACAUGUAGUAAUACUCUAUCAGCAAUGAAUUUAUUAAGAAAUGCUAUUUGAAACAAAAUAGUUGUACUAUGCUCUUGAUUUCCCACACCGAGAUCUAUUUUCUACAAUCAAAAAGAUAAUCGCCAACCGAGAUAUAUAAACAUGCUCCUAAAUAAAAUUCGUUGCCCAAAAAACAAAUCAAAUACAAUUACAACAACAUUUAAGUGUGCCACACUCACCCACAUUUGUGCAUCCAAGUAAUUAAAGUAUCACAUACACACAUUAUAUCUUUUUUAAAAAUCACUAGCUAAUAUUUCGAAACACGGAAUAAAACAGAAAGAGAAUAUUAAGUUCACAGUAGAGAUUGAAGCACGCAUUCGGUAUUGACCUGCUGAAUAAUAUUGCGCUGAGUGAGAGUAUCGAAAGUUGCGACAAGCGCAUACGCUCCGGUCAUCACAGCCACCGCCGCGCCGGCGUCAUGCAGAACCGCCGCGCCGGCGUCGGGAACAGCCGCAACUCGGAAGCCGCAAGGCAGCGGCGUAAUGCGGCGGAGAUUCACGGCGGGAGAUAGAAAAGGAGAAGAAAAGCGGCGGUUGAGAAGUGAGAAGCUGGCGUUUGAGUGCGGAGACGGCAGGGGUAAUAUGGUAAUUAUGGCCAUCUGCUGCUUAUCUGCUUUGUGUUAUACGGAUGCACAACAGGAGAGACUGUGUGGUCUAUUUAUCGUUAAAGAUGACCGUCUGGAGUGAAACACGCAGGGUACGUACCUUAAUAUUCAAGGACAGCGGGGUAAGCCUAUUAGUAGUACUACUACUUAUUUUCAAUCUUGUCUCGUUUAUUUUGGAGUUCUAGUAGUGCUCAUUUUCGAUCUUGUCUCGGUUAUUUUAGAGUAGUUUGAUCACUUAUUUUAGAGUAGUUGAAUGAGUACAAAAUUUUGUACGAAAUAAUAUAAUGACUAAUAUAAAUAAAUGUUUUAAUUCAUGCUAUUAAAUUAUUAAUGUAUAUAUAAAAGACGGACUAGAAUAAUGUUAUAUCCACAAAAUUAGAUACAAAAUUUUACACAAAAUUACAUGAUAAUUGAGAGAUGUAGAGAUGUAGAUGUUUUAAUUGGUGUUAUUAAUACAUACAGAGGACGAAUAGAAUAGUGGUACAUCCACAAAUUUGGAUACAAUUUUUUUGCAUAAAAUAACAUAAUAAUUGAAUUGAGAUGUUUUAAUAAUCAAUGCUAUUAAUACAUAUACAGGGCGAGUAGUGGUACAUCCACAAAAAUAAAUACAAAAAUUUGCACAAAAUGACAUGAUAAUUGAUAUGUAAUUUAUUAAUUGGUGCUAUUAAUAUAUAUACAAGGGUGUAUUGGAUUGGGAUUUUAAAGCAUUUUUUUUCAUUCAUAAAAUCCGAGCGUAUUCGAUUGGGAUUGCUUGAAAUCUAUUAAAAUCUUCGGGUAUUUAAUUGGGAUUUUAAAUUAUGUUACAAAAUCUAAUAGUAUUCAAUCAAAAUUUUAAAUUAUACUUUAAAAUUCGAUGAUAUUUAAUUGUGAUUGUUUAAAAUCUAUUAAAACCUGAUGGUAUUCAAAUGUUGAUGAUUUUUUUUCGAUUUCACAAAAUAAUGAAUUUUGUGGCAUUCUUGAGUAUAUAUUAAGUUAUUUGAAAUCUUAUCAAUAUCCAAUGAAAUUAUGAAGCAUUGUGCUUAAAUCUUAUCAACUCUACGAUAUUUUAUUAAAAAUCCGCAUAAAAUCAAAAUUACGUACAAUUCAAUUAAAUUUAUAGAUUAAAAACAAUCCAUGAUCAUGUACACAGUUUGUGUAAUGAUGUGAGUCUAAUCUAUGUAAUCAUCCGUCUAUUUCAGACUUAGUCGAUGACAAACUACACACAAAAUUUCUUCACUGUACAUCUGUUCCUGCUUGCACCUACAAAUUUAUGUACACGACACACAUACAUUAUCGAGGUUCAAGGACUGUGAUAUUCAAUUGGUUAGACGAAGAAUCUGGAUCAUGAAAUGUUCUUUCCAUAAAGAAUCCAGGUUGUUUAGGAUGAGGCAGAGCAAUGCUACUGCUCAACAUCAGAACCACAUGAGACAUACUAGGUCUAUCAGCUGGAUGUUGUUGAACGCACAAUAAUCCAAUCUGAAUAACUCGAAACACUUCAGCAUGGUUGCAUGACUCCGAUAUUGCCUCAUCCACAAGUCCCAAAAGCUUGUCUUCUUUGUAACUUGUCCAUGCCUGAAAGAGAUAACAUGUCACUGAUGACCGAGGAUGAGCCUAAGGCAAAGUAUAAGCACAGACGGAUCUAGUAAGAGGCACGGAGGACACGUGUCCCCCUAAAUUAUUAUUUUUGACAUUUUUCGCCAUUUUAAAGAAGUGUGCCCCUGGGGACAAGUAUGAUAAAUAUUUGUUACAGCUGCUUACAUGUCCGAGAAGGUUUAGGCUAUGAUCACGGUGAACGUAUGAUCUGUUCUUCUUUCCGCUUAUUAUUUCUAUCACCAAAACUCCGAAGCUAUAGACAUCAGAUUUAGUUGAGAAUAUUCCGUCUAUAGCAUACUCCGGGGGCAUGUAACCACUGCAAGAGCCGAGAGACAAAAUCAGAAAUUUAUAUCAGUCUUGCACAGGGGAUAUAGAAUUAUGGUAGUGCUAGUUUUUAUUAAUUCAUAGGUUCAUACUAUGUCCCAACGACCCUUGUCGUAUUUGCUUGCAUUUGAUUACCUCCAAAACUUCUUGCCAUGCCAAAAUCUGAAAUUUUUGGAUUCAUCUCGUGAUCAAGUAAGACAUUACUUGUUUUGAGAUCUCUGUGAAUUAUUCGCAGUUUAGAGUCUUGGUGAAGAUAGAGAAGUCCUCUGGCAAUGCCAUUUACUAUGUUGCAGCGCUUUGACCAAUCCAAUGCUUUGCCAUUUUCAUCAUCUGUUCAUCGAUUUCAUGUCAAUUCAUACAUCUUUACAUAUGAAUCAUGUAGAGAUAAACCAACUCAACUUCUUUGCAUAUAUGCAAUAGAGUAGCUACUAGCCAUGUAAUGGAAACCUGGUACUUGUCCCCAGAAAUAUAUGUUUCUGAUACUAUGAUCUUGCAGAAAAAAUAGAGUACUAUACUGCCCCUUGUGAGGUAGGAUGAUUAAUCAUAAAGUUACUUUUUAAUGUGUAGAUAUAUAGGACCAUACCGAAGAUGCAGGAAUCUAAACACUUGUUGGGCAAGUAUUCAUAUAUCAACAUCCUUUCUCCUUUGUCAAUGCAGCAUCCAAGAAGUGCCACUAGAUUUCUAUGUUGCAGCUUAGCAAUACAUGAAACUUCAUUCAUAAAUUCAUCUAUUCCUUGUCUUGAAUCCUUUGCCAGCCUCUUUACAGCUACUUCUUGUCCAUUAGUCAACAAACCCUGUGACAUGAAAGAUUAUCUAGUGGAGGUUCCAGAUUCUGCAGUAGUGGAUUCUAAUUUAUGCAUCGUCAUUAUAUAAUUAUAACAUAUGCUAGAACCUCUUUGAUAUUUGGGGUCUGGAGCAGAAAAUCUGAACAGGUUUAAUGAGAUCAUAGUAUGCACAAUUGUGGCUAGUAAUCACCUUGUACACAGGUCCAAAUCCACCUUCCCCCAGCUUAUUAUGGUCGGAGAAGUUCUUUGUAGCAUUUGCAAUUUCUGUGAAGUCAAAUAAUGGCACUUCAAAGUCUUCCCCCUCAAUUUUGUUCAAGGCCACCAUUUCUGAAGUGAAUGUCAUUCUCCCUGUAAAUAAAAAAUUGCAACUUAAGUUCUUUGUUAGCACGUUCGACAACAGAAAUGCCAGUAUAGUUUUCUUGCCAAUAGAUUUAUACACAUAUACCUCUUCUCUUCUGAAUUCUCAUCCUCAGUAAAUGCAACAGUAGGAAAAGUAGAGCGGUUGCUGAUGUGAGAAGUACUAUCACAAUUGCCUUCAUAAAUCUGGACCUCUUACUUCCCAGUUUAUAAUCUAAAAUUAGGAGGAAAUGGAGUUAGUCCAGAAAGGUAAGGAUUUCAGGUAGUGUAGUGAAAUGUGAAUAAUCUUGUACUUAGUUCAGAGUGUAUAUAUGUGUGUUAUCUCACCAAAGUCAGAGGACAUCUUUACAUACAUAUCUUCCCCAUCUGUGUAGUAUUUGAUAUCCAUCAGCUCACCAAACCACAAGAUGCAUCCACUUCCGCCUUUUCUGAUAUCAGCAUCCAUAUAAGCUGUACAAGAGCAAUUCUUCAAGCACAAACUCUCACAAUCCUCAAGGUUUAAGCUCAUGUUGUACCAUGAACUUCGCGUAUCUGGCCAUUUCACACCUGAAUACUUCAUAAAACUCUCUCCACUCCCACAACUCAUUGGACUUCCACGGACACACCCAUCAGACCAAUUUCCUGCUUUCCACUUUUCACUAAGUUUCGGAACAAAUCCUUUCAAACAUUCACAUCUAGGAUAGUUAUUAGGAUUACAACCUCCAUACGGACCACAAAAUCAUACUCCAAUUCACAAACUCUUUUAUAUACAUAUGGAAAAAAAAAAAAAGAAGAAGAAAAACAAUGUUGUACCACUAAAUCAAGGUAAAUAACGUAGGAGCUUAAGAGAUACUGCCGAGCUCUACCCCGCCCGCAUUAUGAGCCUUUCAUUUAAAAAGUCUUAUAUGGCUAGCAUAAGUUUGCCCACUAAACAGGUUAAAAGUAAUUAAUCUGAUAAAUUUUCCUAUAUCAUUACAUGUUAGCUCGGUAAAAUAUAUGUCUACUGAUCACUCACACACCAGAAACGGGUGAAUAUUACUUAAAAAUAUUUUCAACUCCAAUCAUAUAACCACCUCUCUAAUCUCCAAAGAAGAUUUGAAGGGUUAUACAAAGACCGUAAGCACUAAGCAGUUGUGAGGACAUACUUCUCAUUGAACAAGUUUUCAGAAACAGUCUCCCAAUUAUACCAGUCCAUAUGAGACAAAUAUCAAUUCUCUGCCCAAACUAUAUGGUUAACUGUUAAUAGGAACUACAAAGAAUCAAGAUCUGCAAUGAAUACUAUAGCGGCGAACAUGUUUUUAAUAAUUUGAGCCAUAAAAAGAUAAAACAAUUAAUGAUGUAACAGCAAAAUUUAGCACAUAUAUGAGGUCGCUGCAACAGCGCAAUAUCAGAAGAAGAUUGUGCAACAUAAUCUCAGCACAUACACAGUGUAUGUUAAAUGAUCCUGUUACAAACUAAUAUAAGUACAAUAUUCUUUUCUAAAUCUGAAAU